UACGAAGGGAGCUAGCGUUGUUCGGAAUCACUGGGCGUAAAGCGCACGUAGGCGGAUGUGUCAGUCAGGGGUGAAAUCCCGGAGCUCAACUUCGGAACUGCCUUUGAUACAGCACAUCUGGAGUCCGGAAGAGGUGGGUGGAAUUCCUAGUGUAGAGGUGAAAUUCGUAGAUAUUAGGAAGAACACCGGUGGCGAAGGCGGCCCACU
rnacentral:rRNA from 1 species